GGAUUUCUGAGGGAACACCUGUAAAAAGCUAUUUUCAUCAGCUAAGAAAAAUUAUUUUCAAAUUAUUCCUUAUUUACAUUCAUUUUAUAUUAUUGUUUAUGGCAGUAAGAAUACAUUAUUAAUGAUUGCAUACAUCAAUAGCACAAUGGAAACUAGAGGUCAAAAUUAGAACCCUAGCUGGGCGCAGUGGCUCACACCUGUAAUCCCAGCAUUUUGGGAGGCCAAAGCGGGUGGAUCACCUGAGGUCGGGAAUUUGAGACCAGCCCGAUCCACAUGGUGAAACCCCGUUUCCAAUAAAAAUACAAAAGUUGGCCAGGCGUGGUGGCCCAUGCCUAUAAUUCCAGCUAUUUGGGAGGCUGAGGCAGGAGAAUUGCUUGAACUCAGGAGGCGAAGGUUGCAGUGAGCUAAGAUGGCGCCACUGCACUCCAGCCUGGGUGACAGAGUGAGACUUCAUCUAAAACAAACAAACAAACAAAAAAAUCUAAAUGAGAC
rnacentral:lncRNA from 10 species